rnacentral:rRNA from 1 species
UCGGGAAUUUUGGACAAUGGGGGCAACCCUGAUCCAGCCAUGCCGCGUGAGUGAAGAAGGCCUUCGGGUUGUAAAGCUCUUUCGGCGGGGACGAAACGGUCCGUGACAACACCACGGACUAAUGACAGUACUCGCAGAAGAAGCACCGGCUAACUACGUGCCAGCAGCCGCGGUAAUACGUAGGGACCAAGCGUUGUUCGGAUUUACUGGGCGUAAAGGGCGCGUAGGCGGCAAUUCAAGUCAUCUGUGAAAUCUCCGGGCUUAACUCGGAACGGUCAGAUGAUACUGCUUUGCUAGAGUGCAGAAGGGGCAAUCGGAAUUCUUGGUGUAGCGGUGAAAUGCGUAGAUAUCAAGAGGAACACCUGAGGUGAAGACGGGUUGCUGGGCUGACACUGACGCUGAGGCGCGAAAGCCAGGGGAGCAAACGGGAUUAGAUACCCAAGUAGUCCCUGAGCGGGCUGGCAAGGCGCAU